GGCUCGUCUGAAGGUAGUAAGUUCUCUCAAUUGUUCAGUUACAAAUAGAACUCCUUAUUUCACUUUUUCCCUCUUCUCACUACUGCACUUACUAAA
rnacentral:Y_RNA from 1 species